rfam:Schistosoma rodhaini strain Burundi genome assembly, scaffold: SROB_scaffold0002061
AUCCAGGUGACGAGUCUCAAAUAGGACGAAACGCCCGUCCAACUGGAU